rnacentral:rRNA from 1 species
UACGUAGGGUGCAAGCGUUAAUCGGAAUUACUGGGCGUAAAGCGUGCGCAGGCUGUUUGGCAAGUCAGAUGUGAAAUCCCCGAGCUCAACUUGGGAACUGCGUUUGAAACUGCCAAACUAGAAUAGGUCAGAGGGGGGUAGAAUUCCACGUGUAGCAGUGAAAUGCGUAGAGAUGUGGAGGAAUACCAAUGGCGAAGGCAGCCCCCUGGGAUCAUAUUGACGCUCAUGCACGAAAGCGUGGGGAGCGAACAGG